GAUGGCCGAGCGGUCUAAGGCGCUAGCUUCAGGUGCUAGUAGUGAAAACUGCGUGGGUUCGAGUGAGUAGUCCCCCAAACA